AGUAUACAAGACUGAAUAUCCUGAAGAUUUUUAUUUAAUUUUUGUAAGGCCAGACCAAUUGUAUUUCUUGUCUUACGGAUUCUUGUCCUCAGAAAACAUAAAGGCAGGAGGGG